UACGUAGGGGGCAAGCGUUGUCCGGAAUCAUUGGGCGUAAAGCGCGUGUAGGCGGUUCAGUAAGUCUGCUGUGAAAGUCCAGGGCUCAACCCUGGGAUGCCGGUGGAUACUGCUGGGCUAGAGUACGGAAGAGGCGAGUGGAAUUCCCGGUGUAGCGGUGAAAUGCGCAGAUAUCGGGAGGAACACCUAUUGCGAAGGCAGCUCGCUGGGACGUUACUGACGCUGAGACGCGAAAGCCAGGGGAGCGAACGGG
rnacentral:rRNA from 1 species